rnacentral:rRNA from 1 species
CAGAGGGUGCGAGCGUUGUCCGGAAUUACUGGGCGUAAAGGGCGCGUAGGCGGCUUGAUAAGUAGGAGGUGAAAUUCCAUGGCUCAACCAUGGAUCGGCCUUCUAGACUGUCAGGCUUGAGCACGGUAGAGGCAGAUGGAAUUCCCGGUGUAGCGGUGGAAUGCGUAGAGAUCGGGAAGAACACCAGUGGCGAAGGCGGUCUGCUGGGCCGUUGCUGACGCUGAGGCGCGACAGCGUGGGGAGCAAACAGGAUUAGAUACCCUGGUAGUCCACGCCGUAAACGAUGGGCACUAGGCGUCGGGGGGAGCGACCCUCCCGGUGCCGUAGCUAACGCUCUAAGUGCCCCGCCUGGGGAGUACGGCCGCAAGGCUG